CAAACAGAUCAUGAACUGGGAGCUGUGUGGAAAGACAACCGGAUUGGGAGCUAGUGUCCUGCCCUGGGUUUCUUCCACGUGACCCUACCACCCGUCAGCCGUCUGGUCUUGGGAGUCCAAGUGGGAGAGGGGCAGAGAAAGGAGGACAGAGGACCUGAAGCGGGCUCUGUGCUGACAGCAGUGAGCCCAGAGUGGGACUUGAACUCACAAAUUGUGGGAUCAUGUUGGAUGUUCAACCACUGGAGCCACCCAGGGGGAAUAUAAAGAUUUCUCCUGACUUGUGUGAAUUUUUCCAGAGUCCUUUCUUUUGGAAAUGCUACAAGAUGGCUGUGUUUUCAGUGGUGGAAAUUAUCGAUAGGACUCAAAAGCAAGGAAUCACAGAAUAUCUGCUUUCCAGUAGUGAUGUAUGACUCACCAAAGCCACAACAUUUUUUAUAAUACCCUUAGUUUUUUUCAUAGAAACAGAACUGAGAUUCCUAAUAUUUCCUGGAAUUUUUAGAAAAAGGAAGGAAAAAAAGAAUUCAAGGAGAUGUCCAUUGGUUAGCCCAUCACUGGCACACAUCGGCAUUGAAGAGUAACUGGUGAGUAAACCAGUACCGAUACCACUAUCCUUCAUGUCCAGCCUGCCCCCAAAGAUUUUCUUGGAACCGACAAGAAGGUUAAUUGAAAAUAUAAAUCUGCUUUGGAAAGCAUUUGCAUUUUAAGCAGAGAUGGAAUUUGGGGAAGUGCCAUGUAGACGUCUGUCAUUCUACAAGUCAUAAUUAUUGUCAGUGACCCGAGACCUGGAGCAGAUCAUGAUGGUUAAAUAAUGUCCAUGGUGUUGCUCUUGGGGAAAGCCUUUGUCCCCACCUGAUCAUUCCCACAUUGCCUUGGGUCUUUUAUGCCUAAAGUGCAUACGUUGCUUCUGUUUAUCUGAGUAAUUUUGGAGGCAACCAUUUUGCAGAUCUGAUUUCCUUCCUCUGACAGACAAGGCCUGGAUUGCUCUCGCUUUUAUAUUUCAUUAUUCACACAUUCUUCCCCAUCUCUCACCAAUCGUCCCACCAUUUCUGUUUAAAGAAGAUCUUUAAUAUGUAUGUAGACCCAUCCCAAAAGGUCUACAUGCUACAUGUGCACAUGCACAUAUACCCACAGUGCACGUGUACUUCUGUAUAUGUUCUUUUUAAUUUUUUUUUCUUGACUAGAUCACUCCCAAAAAAAAAAACAUUUGAGUAUGACAAAAGCUGGUAAAAGAGAUGAAAAGGAUGAUACUUUUUGGUUAGGGAGUUUGAAUUAAUUUUUGUCAUAACAAGUUGACUGUUGGGGCACUGUGUGUCCCUGUGAAUUGCACGCUUCAGCUACGUCCCUGGCUCUGUUGACCCACAGAGAGAGUAAUCCAAUUAUCCAAAUAGGGAAAUGCCUGAAAACAAUGAAUAAUCAGAAGUUGCAUUUUAGAAGCAUGUUCAUUCAUGAAACUGGUAGGUCACGUUCAUUUUAGAAGUGCAUCAGCAGGAAUGUUGUCUGAGCCUGCACUUAGAACAUUCAUUCAUUCAGUCAGCAAACACAUACUGAGAGCCUUCCAUGUGCUGGACACUGUCCUAGGUGCUGGAGAUGUAUUAAUUAGCAGAGAGAAACAUGGUCCCUGAUGAUAAAUUUAACAACUGGUUUUUUUGAACCAAAAGCUCUGAUGUUUUCAUAUUUUGCAAUGCCUGUGCUCUAGAUACUCCCACCAUAACCAAUUUCAAGCUCCCCAAGUUCUGCAGUGCCUGGCACAUAGAAACUGGCCACUAUCAUCAUGUUCCUAUCUUGAUCAUCAUUAGGCUUGCUUUGACAACAUAAUAAAAAGAAGCUCACGACCUACAGGGGAAGAGUCUAAGAUGUGCUCAGGGGAGUGUGUGGAGAAGGGUCUGAAAGAUGAGGGACAUUCCUUUUUAUUUUUUACUUAAAAUCUGUAAGAUGUGCAUUUUUAGAAGUAUGUAUUUUAUAACCUUUAAAGAAAGAAUUUACAGUGCCCAAGUGACCAAGCAUGGCUUUCACAUGAUGCUGGCCAGAUGUGACCACAUUGUGGAUAUAAGACCGUUAUUCCAAGUUCCAUAUCACAAUAUGUGAAUCCCUGAUAAAUGGCUGUUGAAUUGUUUUCCUGGUGAGAAGUGACU